rnacentral:lncRNA from 1 species
GGUUUUUGUUGUUGUUGAUAUGUUGAUAGAGAAUCUAUCUUUAUUUAAAAAGAAUCAUUUUUUUUUUGUUUUUAUUUUUUAAUUUAAAAAAUAUAACACCAAGACUUAGGUUAAAAUUCAAUCAACCGUUAGCUGUUCAGAAUACGUGAUUUAUGCGUACCUGACAUUGGAAAACCUUCAACAGAAAAUAAUUAAGACAACAACAAGUGUCACAUUAAGAAGCAAAGCCUUAAACAAAAAUUAAAUAUUUAUAGUGACUCGAUGACCCAUUUUGACUUCUUUCAAGGGCAACAAAAGGGUGAUUUGAAGAAAGUACCAAAAAAUCAAUUACGCCUUGUAUAUAGGCACACUUUUUUGAAAAAAAAAAACAUUACAAAUUUCGCCAUCGAAUAGAUAAUCACAAAACAUAAUUCUUUUGUAAACAUUUUGAUACUCAUAUUGUGCUGUAUGUAACAAACUGCCCGAUCUUGUAGAAGCCUUUUAUUAUAUUCACCGCCAUGUCAUGAACUUAUAACACGUAAAUGGAUGUUUAAGAAAAAUAUAGCAAGAUGUUGUACCCAUUUACAAAUUGGACAUACUAUAAAUACAUUUAAUAUAAGGAAAGGAAGGUACGUCGCACAUUUUCAAGUCACUUUGAGUUGCCCAUUCAUACCUGUGAGUAAUAUAGCGUUAAAUGCGAAACGAAAAGCUAACAUCGUCACACAAACGACCAACAAAGCAAUUGAAACGCAAUGAAAUUAAAUCAGUUUUUCAAAGUUAAAUUGGUCGAUAUUUCUUUAAAUAAAUAUUUACAUUAAUAAAAAGUAUAUUGUCCUCAUUUAUAGAGGUAAUAAUUUAAACUUCCUGACCUCAAAUCUCACGCACUGAACAAUUUCUUGGGACUUAAAACUAUACCUUUUGUUUUCCUGUCGUCCACUCCUAGGUCUGAUUAAAGAUUGUAAUAUCUUGUUAAAAGAAAUAUCACAAAAAUACUGAACUCAGAGCAACGUCUAAUCGGAAAGCCCAUAAUCACAUGGCAAAAUCAAAUGAAAAAACACAUAAAAAACGAAUGGACAAGAACUGUCAUAUUCCUAACUUGGAACAGGCAUUUUCAUGUAGAAAUGGUGGAUUAAACCUGGUUUUAUAGCACUAAACCUCUCACUUGACAUAACA